UUUACGGAGAGUUUGAUCCUGGCUCAGGACGAACGCUGGCGGCGUGCUUAACACAUGCAAGUCGAACGGUGAUGCGGAGCUUGCUCCGCGGAUCAGUGGCGAACGGGUGAGUAACACGUGAGUAACCUGCCCUGGACUCUGGGAUAAGCGUUGGAAACGACGUCUAAUACCGGAUAUGACUUCGGAACGCAUGUUCUGGAGUGGAAAGAAUUUCGGUCUGGGAUGGACUCGCGGCCUAUCAGCUUGUUGGUGGGGUGAUGGCCUACCAAGGCGACGACGGGUAGCCGGCCUGAGAGGGUGACCGGCCACACUGGGACUGAGACACGGCCCAGACUCCUACGGGAGGCAGCAGUGGGGAAUAUUGCACAAUGGGCGCAAGCCUGAUGCAGCAACGCCGCGUGAGGGAUGACGGCCUUCGGGUUGUAAACCUCUUUUGGCAGGGAAGAAGCGAAAGUGACGGUACCUGCAGAAAAAGCACCGGCUAACUACGUGCCAGCAGCCGCGGUAAUACGUAGGGUGCAAGCGUUGUCCGGAAUUAUUGGGCGUAAAGAGCUCGUAGGCGGUUUGUCGCGUCUGCUGUGAAAACGCGAGGCUCAACCUCGCGCCUGCAGUGGGUACGGGCAGACUAGAGUGCGGUAGGGGAGAUUGGAAUUCCUGGUGUAGCGGUGGAAUGCGCAGAUAUCAGGAGGAACACCGAUGGCGAAGGCAGAUCUCUGGGCCGUUACUGACGCUGAGGAGCGAAAGCGUGGGGAGCGAACAGGAUUAGAUACCCUGGUAGUCCACGCCGUAAACGUUGGGAACUAGAUGUGGGGUCCAUUCCACGGAUUCCGUGUCGCAGCUAACGCAUUAAGUUCCCCGCCUGGGGAGUACGGCCGCAAGGCUAAAACUCAAAGGAAUUGACGGGGGCCCGCACAAGCGGCGGAGCAUGCGGAUUAAUUCGAUGCAACGCGAAGAACCUUACCAAGGCUUGACAUGCACCUGAAAAGGCUGGAAACAGUCUCCUCGCAAGACAGGUGCACAGGUGGUGCAUGGUUGUCGUCAGCUCGUGUCGUGAGAUGUUGGGUUAAGUCCCGCAACGAGCGCAACCCUCGUUCUAUGUUGCCAGCGCGUCAUGGCGGGAACUCAUAGGAGACUGCCGGGGUCAACUCGGAGGAAGGUGGGGAUGACGUCAAAUCAUCAUGCCCCUUAUGUCUUGGGCUUCACGCAUGCUACAAUGGCCGGUACAAAGGGCUGCAAUACCGUAAGGUGGAGCGAAUCCCAAAAAGCCGGUCUCAGUUCGGAUUGAGGUCUGCAACUCGACCUCAUGAAGUCGGAGUCGCUAGUAAUCGCAGAUCAGCAACGCUGCGGUGAAUACGUUCCCGGGCCUUGUACACACCGCCCGUCAAGUCAUGAAAGUCGGUAACACCCGAAGCCGGUGGCCCAACCGUUGUGGAGGGAGCCGUCGAAGGUGGGAUCGGUAAUUAGGACUAAGUCGUAACAAGGUAGCCGUACCGGAAGGUGCGGCUGGAUCACCUCCUUUCUAAGGA
rnacentral:rRNA from 2 species